AUCAAAACAAAAUAAAUAAAUAAAACACACACAUACGUGUGUGUAUGUCUGCGAUUUUAACCAGAGCCAGGAAGGCUCUCUUGCUCAAAACCCUAAAGUGCCAAGAAUCACCAAAUUGAAGGGCAGAACUAGCUCAAAUCAGAUGCAUGAACACGAAUUCAUGAUCACCUAGUCAUGGGGAUUACAAGAUGGAGGCUUGGGCAAGGAGCGGGUCAAACGGAUCGGGUACGCGAAAAAGGAGCAUAACCGGAUGCAAGGAGCAAUUAACGAUUCGGAUACUCCCGUCACCAUAGAAAAUGUGAUAAUAAAAGCGAGGUAUAAAUCGGGUCUAUUUGUUGAUCCGAGCCAGGUACGCAUAUUUAUGAUGUAUGUAAAAGUGCUAAUUUGGUCGAAUAAUUGGUGAUAGUCCUUCAUUGUAGAAGAAGGACCAAAAUCGACCAAAACGCCCUUGUAGGCUAAAUUGAACAAACAACCCUUAGAGGUUGUUUGGAAACGAGUCUUAUGAUUAAACAAAAGUUUAGAACGAGUAUGGGUAGUGAAAGACGUAAUUCUUGGGCCGAAAGACUCCAUACGAGUCUUUGCCGUAAAAUGAUAUUUCAAGGAGUAUAAUUCGGAACACAUAGAUAUCUACUUUAAAUCCAACACACAUUUAGUUGUGAUGGAAGAGUACUAGAUAAGAAAUAUAGGUUACAAUGCUAGAUUAGAAUGAAAGCGAAUUUGAGCUUAAAAGUGCUUAAAAUAUCC